CCAGACUCCUACGGGAGGCAGCAGUGGGGAAUAUUGCGCAAUGGGCGAAAGCCUGACGCAGCAACGCCGCGUGAAGGAAGAAGGCUUUCGGGUUGUAAACUUCUUUUCUCAGGGACGAAGAAAGUGACGGUACCUGAGGAAUAAGCCACGGCUAACUACGUGCCAGCAGCCGCGGUAAUACGUAGGUGGCAAGCGUUAUCCGGAUUUACUGGGUGUAAAGGGCGUGUAGGCGGGACUGCAAGUCAGAUGUGAAAUCCCAAGGCUCAACCUUGGAACUGCAUUUGAAACUGUUGGUCUUGAGUAUCGGAGAGGCAGGCGGAAUUCCUAGUGUAGCGGUGAAAUGCGUAGAUAUUAGGAGGAACACCAGUGGCGAAGGCGGCCUGCUGGACGACAACUGACGGUGAGGCGCGAAAGCGUGGGGAGCAAACAGGAUUAGAUACCCCUGUAAG
rnacentral:rRNA from 1 species